UUUGGAGCUUCUUACAUCUUCUCUUUUCAUUCUGAUAUUUCUUUUUUCCUUCACAACUUCAAUUACCUUUAGCCAAACCUUGCUCUUUGUGGGAUUUUAAGAACCAUGAGUGACAGAAAUGAAAAUGCUGCAGAACUUGGGUUGAAUUUGAACCUAUCUCCACCAAGGAUAGUUGACAAUAGACCUCAAUCUACAACUCAAUCACCAGCAGUUUUACCAGCAUCACCAUCAAACUCAUGUGUGUCCACUGAGCUUAACCAAGAUGACAGUAACAACAACAAUGUUGAAAACCCUAACAACCCAGAAGCUAUUUCCCUUAAACUAGUGGGAUGCCCUAAUUGUCUCAUGUAUAUGAUGAUCAAUGAGGAUAAACACCAUUGCCCCAGAUGCAAGAACACCACUUUGAUUUAUUUUCCUGAUGACAAAAACCCUGUCAUAAGAAAUGGAUAAAGUGUUAGACAUCUCUACCAUCAUUCUUGCAUGUUAUCUUUUUUUUUUAAGUUAUCUUUUUCCUUUAAACCCUUUCUAUAAGAAGUGCUACUUACUCAACUUUUGACCUUUAUGUCAAAAAAAUCACAAAAAGUUUAGAGUAAAUGGCGCUGCUUGUCAUAGAGGUUAUAUUUAAUAACUGAUUAUUAUACUAGGUUGACCAUCUUAAAUGUUUAGUGAGUUUGUUUUUUCUGUCAUUAAUAAAUAAUGUAAGUUUGAUUAUACUAAAUAAUAUGCAAGAUGCUUUAAUUAUCUA